CCCCGGGUGAUCCGCUCCGCCUCCGCGCCCACCUCCAGCGGGAGGUGGUCCGGCCGACUGGGAUUGUGGGAGGUGUAGUUCGCCGCGAAGUGCGGCGCGCUCCGUCCUCCGCCGCGCGGGGGCAGCGAAAAUGUGGCGGUGGCCUGAACUGUGGAGAGCAGAGUGGAAAUACAUGUUGAAAUAUUUAUGGAUAAAGGGAUAUGAUGUCUGCAAAUUACUCUCCAAUGAUUUAGAAAUAAACACAUGUACAGAGCAAGGGAGAAAGAGAGCAAACAAUAAGCCACAUGGACUGAAAUGUUCGUUGGAGAAAAUGGCAUUUAUUUUUGGUAGUGAGCAAGCACAAGCUGGGAAGGGGC